UUGAUCCUGGCUCAGAAUCAACGCUGGCGGCGUGCCUAACACAUGCAAGUCGAACGCGAAAGUGGAGCAAUCCAUGAGUAGAGUGGCAAACGGGUGAGUUACGCGUGGGUGACCUGCCUUCGAGUGGGGGAUAACGUUCCGAAAGGGACUCUAAUACCGCAUGACAUCCGGCCUUUGAAGAGGCGGAGAUCAAAGCUGGUGAUCGCAAGACCUAGCGCUCGAUGAGGGGCCCGCGUCUGAUUAGCUAGUUGGUGGGGUAACGGCUCACCAAGGCAACGAUCAGUAUCCGGCCUGAGAGGUCGGACGGACACACUGGGACUGAGACACGGCCCAGACUCCUACGGGAGGCUGCAGUGGGGAAUUGUCCGCAAUGGGCGCAAGCCUGACGACGCAACGCCGUGUGGAGGAUGAAGAUCUUCGGGUCGUAAACUCCUUUCGAUCGAGACGAAUAGCCUUCGGGUGAACAAUCCGGAGGUCUGACGGUACCGAGAGAAGAAGCUCCGGCUAACUCCGUGCCAGCAGCCGCGGUAAUAAGGU
rnacentral:rRNA from 1 species